UGGGGGAUAUUGCACAAUGGGCGAAAGCCUGAUGCAGCGACGCCGCGUGGGGGAUGAAGGCUUUCGGGUUGUAAACCUCUUUCGCUAUCGAACAAGGCCCGCUUAGGGUGGGUUGAGGGUAGGUGGAGAAGAAGCGCCGGCUAACUACGUGCCAGCAGCCGCGGUAAUACGUAGGGCGCGAGCGUUGUCCGGAAUUAUUGGGCGUAAAGGGCUUGUAGGCGGCGUGUUACGCCUGCUGUGAAAACGCGGGGCUUAACUUCGCGCGUGCAGUGGGUACGGGCAGGCUUGAGUGUGGUAGGGGUGACUGGAAUUCCAGGUGUAGCGGUGGAAUGCGCAGAUAUCUGGAGGAACACCGAUGGCGAAGGCAGGUCACUGGGCCAUUACUGACGCUGAGGAGCGAAAGCAUGGGUAGCGAACAGG
rnacentral:rRNA from 1 species